GUAGGAGGAAAGUCACCAACUAUUCAACUGCUGCUGUCCUUUCAACGGAUGCUGUAGCACUCUCACACUUCAUCAUGUUGACUGUGUAUGUCUUGCUUUAGAUGCUGGUUUUCCCUUAUGAGACUGAAGAGUCGUGGAGACAGCAGCCACUUUCUGUGAUACAGAACACAGGCUUCUCUGCAGAUACUGCCCUGUCACAGUGCCCCUCUGCUGUCAUCUGUCAUAUGGAAUAUUGGUGAGAAGGAUCAAUCUCCACUGCCAUACCACCAACAUCCACUUUUGACACUGUGGGCCAAUGUAAUAAAAUAGGAAGCAUUACUUUUUGAGCAGCCAUGUUGUAUGGUAACUGUUGAGUCAAGGCCUGAAUCCCUGAUUGAGCACCUGGGGAAAGGACAGGGGAAAGCACCUAGGAGCAAAACGUGAAGGCAAUUCAGCUGUGUGACUAGAAGGGGUGGAGCCUGGCUGCACCUUUCUUAGACCCCAUUUAAAGGGGUCUGCCACGGGGGAAAUUUCUUUCUGGAGAUUCUUCCUUGUUGGAGUUUUCCCCUGUGAACCUGGGAUCUUCUGAUGUGGAGCAGCGCAGUAAACAGAUUCCAGUUUCCACAGG